rnacentral:tRNA from 1 species
GCGGGUAUCGUAUAGCGGCUAUUAUGCGACCCUUCCAAGGUUGAGAUGCGGGUUCGACUCCCGCUACCCGCUCCA